GCCAUCCAUACCCGUAAAAUAUUUUUCCUCUCUCCUUGGUCUAUAUAUUCCUUCUUCCAUUGUAGUUUUCUUACUUCACCUUUUCUCUUUCAAUUUUAGUACCGAUACAAAAUAAGGUCUCACUCAUCCUUUCUUUUCAUUCCAAUAAUGAGUUAUACGAAACCGAAUCAACUUUAUAGGCAAUACCUGUAUAUACACGAUGAGGUUCAUAUCUUCCUAUAUGAACAGAGGUAUAUUGCUAUGUAUAUAUAUUCAUAUUUCUGAGUGGUUCCGUGUAUUUUGAUCAAGAAAAGCGAAAGCGACUCGGAAGAAAUAGAUCGCCGGAGUAGGUUGUGAGGCCGGUGCGGAGUCGCCGUCGAAGGACAAUAUUGGAAGCAGCUCCACUUGUUCAGGCGAACGCGAAGUUACAAGUAAUGUGGGAAGCAGCAUGUGUAUGGUGAAUUGGAUCGGCGGUUCUCUUUCUAUGAGUGUUAGUAAUUCGUCAGGGACAGGGGGCUGGAAUCUUCCUAGAGUAAACAUUUUGCCUGUGGAGAUAUUGGAUUUUGACAAAUUAGAGCCAUCAUUGAGUAAGAUUAUGUUGGAAAGAUAAAAAAACUGGAAACAAUAAUAUACUUGCUGCACAGCACAAAUUUUUUAUGACAAAAGUUCCAUCCGGAGGAAGGUACCAUUCUUCACCUUCCAUUACUUUUUGCAAAUGUCACUUCUUGUUAGUAUGGUUGUCAUUUUUGGUUUGAAAUGACUAAAGGACAUUUUUAAAUAUAAGAGCUUCUCUUCUCUCGUUUGAUCUCCAAUUCAGGGUUAUGAAAUCUAUAAAUGUAUAUAUAUAUAUAUAUAUAUUUGCUAUUUGUAACUGACGCACUCACUUUUUGUCCCUAAUUGGACUUGAACCCUCAACUUUCUAUUUAAGAGGAUAGAGGAAAUACCACUAGGUUACAACCUUGGUUACUUUGAGAUUAAGUAUUUUUGGAAUAAAUCGAACAUACUUUGGUAAUAUGCACACAAGGAGAUCCCAUUACAUAUCUAAAUCUUAUUAGUAAACACAAGAAGAAAUUGAUGUAUGGUUGUAAGAAUGCUUCCUUCCAAUUUUUUUUUUUUUUUCGUGAUAAAUAUUUAAUAUAAGGCCCUUGUUUUAACUUCCUUUAAUAUAUAUAUAUAUAUAUAUAUAUAUAUAUAUAUAUUUCUUCUAUAGGAUUAUUUCAUUAGAUUACUAAUUAUUGGUUCUUUAAAAAAUCAUCACUUGUUACUAUAUAUAAAUCAAUAGAGGGUCAACUACAGAGGGUGGCCAGGUCAAAACAUGUUCCCUUUCUGUGAAUGACAAGAUGAUUGGCCACUUUCUCUUCUGCUCUAAACAGCUACAACCCACAGUGUGUAACAUCACAUACUAUGAAGUUUGAGAUUUUGGGGGAUGUACAUUACUCGGUAAUAUAUAUCUUUUGUAUUAACACCUGUUUUCUUCUGACUUUUAUGAGAGAGAGAAUAAAAUAAGGAAUAUCAUAUACAGUGUUGAAGAUGUAGUUAGAUUAAGAAGAAGAGUGAAAGUUCACCUGUUUAGUUGUUCAAUUUGCUUUGAAUAAAAUGGUUAUUUUCUUGUUUAGUUGUUCAAAUUACUUUGUUUGCACUUAUUUUUGUGGUCUUUGGUUCUCCAGUUACCCUCUAUUACUGUUUGCCAUAACAUUUUGACAAGAUAAUCUUAUUUUGAUUGACUUGAAGUUUGUGCAAAUCUCGAGCAAUCUUUGCUUCUAUAAGUGCCUUCAUAUUCUAUCUUAUUUAUUUAUUUAUUAUUAUUAUUAUUAUUCUUAUUAUCAUCAUCAUUAUUAUUAUGUGAUUAAUAGUUAUUGUGUUGUAUAAUUGUGACCAUUGCUGGAAGGAAUGCUGGAGUGAAACUCCGAUAUCCUUUUCCACACAAUAGGGAGGGCCCUCCAUUGCUAUGAUACGUGCUGUAGUUUUAACAAAUGUUGACACAGUAUUUGAAUUUUUUAAUGUCAUUAGCAUGACAAGGUACAUGUAGAUUUUGGCCAUGCACACUUGGUACUCAUGUUUUAGUAGUUAACUUUCUCUCUUGAAUAACAGUAUCCACUUCCAUUUGUACCUUAUUUGUUUUCAUCCUUUCAAGAGCCGGAGAAAAUAACACAAAUAACAGUACCCACAUGCCUUUCUUUUUUCUUGUCCUUUUUCCUAAAUAGCCUUUGAUUGAUAUGCCCUAUUAAUAUUAUGUUCUUAUGCAAUAGAUUGUAUUAUUUAAUCAUAUCAUAUAUUCAAUAUUUUGGAUUAAUACCUAAUAGGCUAAUUUGACUCCAAAUAGCCAGGAAAUGGUUCUGUUGAGUGAAGUUGGAUUAAUAGGCUUAUGUUGACUACCAAAAUUAGAUAUGUAGUGCUUGGUUUUCAGAAUUAAUGAUAAUAUUUUAUACUUGUAAAAGCUACAUUAUCCUAGGCUUUCUAUUACUAUUCAUUUACAACAAUGUACUCCAAUUGGUGCACAUGCAAAUUGAAAUUGAAAGGAUAUAUGUACAGUGAUUUAGGUAGCCCUCUUACUGCAUUGCUAAAGAAUUCACUAUGUUUUAAACAUCUUGACUAGUUUUGUGAUGCAUCUUGUGAGUUGUUUCAAUUGUGUAUCAAUUUAGUUGAAUGCAUAUGGAAGUUUGUAUAGCUAACCUCGAUAGUUGAUAUGUGAAAUUUCAGUUAUUUAAUAUUUUGAGUUGCAUAAUUUAAACUAUUUCAAUUUAGGAACUAAUGUAUACUUUUGUUAUACGUAUAUCUCGCUUUGCUUAAACUUGCGUUUUAUGGUACUUCUCUGGCUGUCUGGCACCUUAGCACACCUUUUGCCUUAAAUGAUUGUGACAGCAUAUUGAAAGAGGAUCUUGUUUAAUACAACGUUAGAAGCUUGGUUUUGAAGGCGCAAAGAUUGGUUUGAAUAUGAAGGACAGUGCACUUGAGUAAAAAUUGGUAAGGCAAUUGAGGAUGACGUUUCACAUAAAAUUGGAUGGGCAUCGCUGUAAUGGAGAGAUGCUUUACUAAGGACAUUGAGAACAUUGUUCUUUGGCCUUGGUGGCAUUCCCUUCUAUAUGCUUCAUGCGAUUAAAGUGUAUGUGUGAUUUACGCAUGCUUGUCAAGUUGAAGGGGAAAUUACGCCAUACACAUACGAGAAAGGAUUGAUUUAGGCUAUAAAUUAAAUAUGUUUUCUGUAUAUAUAAGUACAAUAAAAACAAUGGUGUUGAGAUGGACAAGAACCAAGAAAAUAGGAUCGAGAAAGAAAUUGAUUAAUGGAAGUUAGAGGUAACACCGACUAGGACAAGAUGACAGAAAGAUGGCAGAGACAUAUCGUUUGCAAUGAAAACCAAUGAUUUUUCUAUGAAGUACUCAUAUGAUUAUGUACCACCCUACUUAUAGAUAAUUCAAGAUGUUCUAAUUUUCACCUUUAUUUUUUUGCGAUAAAGAGAGUUAAGAUGUCAUAUGGUUUUGUAUUUGCUUGAAGUUGCUAUUACUAAAUAUAUCCCUUGUGUUCUCCUUCUGGUUAAAUUCAUUUGCAUCAUGUAAAAGUAAGUUGUUGAUCGAGGCUUAAGUUGUGUAUUGUUUUUAGUAAUGGUUUGUGAGUUUUAACAGAUAGUGCUAACAACGUAAGUUGUUCUUUGAUUUGUGCUUGUGUUUUGGCUUGUAAUGGUGAAGCAACCAAACUUAAAUUUCUCAAGCACUACGCUUUUUUCAGUGAGGUGGUAGUUGAUGUCUUACAUGCAACAAACCUUUUCAUCUGAAGCACUUUCUACAUAUUACAGUGUAAUCCUUAUAUUUUUUUGUUUUGAAUAUCAUCUAUUUCCUAUAACGCAUAUACAAGUUUGAAUACUCCCUUUACGUCCAUGUUCCAUAAACUAUUUAGUAUUUAACACCUCAAUGGAAUUAAUCAGAAUUGUGGACCAGUUUUUUUUUUUUUCAA